UGCUACAAUGGACACUACACAGGGCGGCGAAACCGCGAGAUCAAGCAAAUCCCCGAAAGUUGUGCUCAUUUCUGAUUGUCAUCUGCAACGGGAAUACAUGAUGCUGGAUUCGCUAGUAUUCGUAGAUCAGCUUGGUACGGUGGAUACUUUGCCGGGUCUUGUACACGCGGCCCGUCAGACCGCGCGAGUUUGUAACAUGCGAAGCCGGUGGUGUAACCUUUUAGGAGCUAGCCGUCGAAGGUUGGACAAAUG
rnacentral:rRNA from 1 species